CCCUCGGCGUCUUCCCUGAGGAUCUUCUGCUAAGGAUGAAACCUGUUUCUUGCCUCUGAAUUCAGGACGCUGAAAGGAUGUAAAGUCAGAGCUACUGGCUGCCGUCUCUGCCCUCCCCACAAUGUAUCACCAUUUAUUCAAUCCAACUGGCCAGGACGUGGGCCAUGUCGUGUGUCCCAACACACCACAUGGAGCCCCCUUUCUGAAGAUCCAUGGGGAGACCUGACACAGAGAUGUCAGGCCAGGAGAAGCUGUGCAACUUUCAGCAGAUCCAUUCAUUCUACCAAUAUCUGCUGAGCGCCUGCUGUGUGUCAAGCUCUCUGGGAGGGCUGGAGCCACCGAAAAGGAGUUGGGUGACUGGAGGGAAGACAGACCAGCAAUUACAGGCAGGCUUUGGGAGCCCAUGAGGAAGGACGUACAGGAUUCUUGGGGAGCGGAGAGCAGUGCCCUCUUGCCCAGCCUCAGGAUCAGGGAAGCUUCCAAGAGGAAGAGACAGAUGAGCUGAGCCCGGAAAGAGAUGAGAGCGAGCGGGAAAAUGGCCAGCCCAAGAAAGGGAGAAGUUGGGCUUCUUUAUGCCGUAGAAUGUGGUGGGAGCAGAGGAGGCUGUGAGACAGUUGAAGGCUCUUGGCUUUUAUCCAAGGGCAAUAGGUAGCCACUGAAAAAUUUUAACCAGAAGUGAUGUGAUCAGACAGAUUGUAUUUCCUCCUUUCUUCGACAGAGUAGAAGCUCAGAACUGAAUUUGCAGCCCACUGCCUGCCACUAUAGAGGGCCCUCCAUGUGCAAUCUGGAGGUUAAUUCACCUCUUCUUCAUCUUAUUAUCUCUUCAUCCCCGUGUCCUCAUUCAUUAACUUUUGUUGUACUCUCUGCAUCUCUGCAAGCCCCACCGUAUACAAAGAAAUACACCAUGUUAGUGCAGUUACUCUCAUAACACCCUUGGAGUUAAACGUUGGUAUUACCAUUUUAGAGAGAAGCUUGAAGAAAUUCAGGAGCUUGCCUAUGGUCUUGGCAUCAUUUCAUGGUCGUGGGAUGGUGCCCGCCUCCAGCACAGCGGUUCACACACGAGAGGCCCCAGCCCCGGCUGCUGACCGACUGACUGACCCUCCCCGCUGGGAGUACCAGAUUCCCUUACCUGACACCAUCCACUCCAUCACACUGUCCUCUCCCCACCUGCUUUUGCAUCCCACCUGCUAUAGACUAAGCUUCUCUCCUGCCCUCCACAUAUACACGUUUUUAAAGAAGAUCCAUCAUUUAACUUUUAAGUACAUCAGGCAACUAAAACCAGCCUAACAGUUGGUUGCUUUUAGAACUAGACUUUUAG
rnacentral:lncRNA from 1 species